GAGUUCUAGUUAAGAGGAGGUUUGUGAGUUUUUGUGAAGAGGAGGUUUGUGAGUUCUAGUGAAGAGGAGGUUUGUGAGUUCUAGUGAAGAGGAGGUUUGUGAGUUCUAGUGAAGAGGAGGUUUGUGAGUUCUAGUGAAGAGGAGGUUUGUGAGUUCUUGUGAAGAGGAGGUUUGUGAGUUCUAGUGAAGAGAAGGUUUGUGAGUUCUAGUGAAGAGGAGGUUUGUGAGUUCUAGUGAAGAGGAGAUUUGUGAGUUCUAGUGAAGAGGAGGUUUGUGAGUUCUUGUGAAGAGGAGGUUUGUGAGUUCUAGUGAAGAGAAGGUUUGUGAGUUCUAGUGAAGAGGAGGUUUGUGAGUUCUAGUGAAGAGGAGGUUUGUGAGUUCUUUGUGAAGAGGAGGUUUGUGAGUUCUUGUGAAGAGGAAGUUCGUGAGUUCUAGUGAAGAGGAAGUUUGUGAUCUCUGCAAAGAGGGAAGUUUGUACACACACACAUUUUGUGCCUGUAUUAAGUCAGGCUACUGGACCAUUUGUUGUUUGUGUUUGUUUGAAUAUGUAUUUUUUCAGAGGAGUCGGUGU